AGUUCUUGCAGCUCCCUCGAGGUGACAACGAAUCCAGCGAAUCGUCAGAGCUGGAUUUGCGGGCAUUGAUGCCUGACACACUGACACUGACUGGUCUUAAGCUGGAAAAGACACUCACCGAAAUUCUAGUCUAGUGUUUUAUGACAUAGCUAAAAAAAAAAUUCAUCACCCCUAACCAUCGACAGUGUAUGGAUCACCUCAGUCACAAAGCAACUAAACCAGCGACUAAAUUUCUCACAGGUUUGUAAUUUAAGCGCCCCACAACAACUGGCGACUACAACAUAUAUCUACAUAUCCGUACCCACGACGACGGCAAACUGCGGGAUCACCACAAACUAAUUGCAAGGCUUAAAUGCGAUACUUUUAUGCAUUUUAAAUAUUUCAAUUAGUCGGCGCACAGAGUGCAGACGGCACUGGGAAUGAGAUUGAAAACUAAAAACCGAAACCGAAAUGGAAAUGGAAAUGGAAACGAAUGCCCGGCAAGCAAGCGGCUGAAAUGGCAGAAAGAAAGUGCAAAAAGCGUGGGGCGCCAGUGAAUGAAGUAAAAAGUGUUUACACGAUCGCAAAAGCGAGGUCCGUUUGCUUAACCCCUUGCCGAGUGAAUAUUGGCAAAUUUAUGAACUUUAAGCUGCAUUUAUGCGUGCGGCUUAUAAGCAAUAAAGGUAACUUAGUGCCAACAAUGUCAUAAAGGCCGCUGUCACAUAAACAACAACGGCAAUGCCAGCAACAAUGGUCAGUCCGGCGGAAUCAAUAUAUGAAUUUAUAUGCAAAAGCCAAAAAAGCGUAGCAUCGCCAAAAGCGAAAACAAAAUUAAUAAUCACAAGAAUUUCACUUUUCACGCAACGACAGCAACAGCAACAGCAGCAGCAGCAGCGGCAACAACAUCAUCAUUGGCAACGUCUGCCUUGUCACCCACAAAUAAACCGAAGCC
ensembl:ncRNA lncRNA:CR44177 long non-coding RNA:CR44177